GGGGCGGGGCGCGCGCACAGCGCCCUCAGUCACCGCGCUUCGUUAAGCGUGCGCUUAAUGGCAGGAGGAAGACUCGGAGCGGCUCAGCGCUGCGUUCGCCUCCGUCAUGAGUUUUAUGGCCCAAGCCACGAGGGAGUGCGAGAAGAGUGCAGCCUCUGCAGCACCCAGCCAAGCUGGAACUUGCCAGCACCGUACCAAGAAAGCUUCCAAAGACAUCUACAUCGAAGUCUCUCCUGGCAUUUAUUCUAUCACAGCAACCUCGGAGGACAUGGAGAAACAAACCCACGUGGUGGAUGUCAGUGCUGGACAAAGCAUUGAUUUAACUUUCGUGCUAUGACGUUUACCAUUUGCUGGCAAUCAUGGGAAUAAAAUACUAGGAUUUUUUAAAGCAGAUAAUUAACUACGUGUAACUAUUUCUCAUUAGCAUCUUAACACAAUCCUCCUCCUUUGGGAGUCCAUUUUUGUGGCCUGUAUAUUUAUUUGCUAACUUAAUGCAAUUGUAUGCAACCCACUUUGUACACUGAUUUUAUAAACUUUGUACAUUGUCUCUCUUAAUUCCAAUCACGUGACUAUGUAAUUGCAGGUUAUUAAACUCGAAACAAUUAAAGAUACAAUCAGUG
rnacentral:lncRNA from 7 species